CGCGGGUCCCAUUUGGCACAAAAUAUAAUAAUAUUAUGCGUGGGUAAAAAUGAAAAUAAACCGAAACCCCGGCGAUACGCUAACGAUACUGCUGCGGAUGAUAAUAAUAAUAUGGACUCGUGUCCGACGUGCGGCGACGGGGACGAGGAUAAAACACGAGAUAAUAUUAGGGGCGAAGGGGAAGGGUCGUAAAACGGUUUUUACACCUAUAAAUCGCGAAUCCUUUUCCGAACUCGACAAAAAAAAAAAUAAUAAUAUAAACUACGACGACGACGACGGCGAUAAUAAUAAUACGAUACCGCCGAUUCCUUAUUAUCGGUAAGUAUGUCCGAUGAUAAAAACGAUCGGGCAAAAAAAAAAAUGAAUAAUAAUACUUCACAAAUACCUGCGUACUGUGCGAUAAUGUUACAAGUGUUACCGACUAUACCAUUUCCGAAAAGAAAAAACAUUUCGAAAUCAAGCAUAAAAACCGUAGAGGUGAGCCGGAUUGAUUGUCCGAACCCCCGUACUAACGGCACGCGCACACGAAAU